GGGCGGUUAACUCAGUGGUUAGAGUGCCAUCCUCACACGGUGGAAGCCGAAGGUUCAAAUCCUUUACCGCCCACCA
rnacentral:tRNA from 1 species